GCCUGAUGGGACUGAGCAGCUUGCAGGUUUGAGGUCCCUGGCUUCUCACUCAGAACCAGAGGCCCCAGCAAAUGUGACAACAGAUACCAUUCAGGGUCACUGCUCUGGUGUGGACACAAUGCUGAGACCUGACUCUGCACUGCCUCCACAGGCCCUUCAACUGACACCGUGAGACAUUCUGGCCCAGGACCAUCCAUGUAAAUCCCGGUAGAUGAUGACGAUGAUGACAAUGAUAGAAGCAUUCACUGUUCUCCACUUCUCUGCAGUCAUUCUAGAAGUCGACUGGGAAGAGGUUAUUAUCUCCAGGUGCUGAUUAUGAAAAGGAGGCAGAGGUAGGGAUCUGAAAACCUAGUCUCUGUAUCCUUGAGCUCCCCCUAACAAGGACAACAGGAGCAAUGGGUCUUUCCUACAAUUCUAAAAUCCUCAGUGCAGCCCUGGGAUCCACCAUGGUUCGCCUGCUUUGAUAGCUCAAGAAAUGAAGCCAGCAGUCUGACAUGCCACAGCUGGUGAGCAUCUGGAUAUGCUCACGUCAAGGCUGGUCUGACCUCAGGCUGAUUCACUGCUGGAGUCUCAUGAGGUGGGAAGAGGGGGCUGUCUCCCAGGACUUGAAGGUGAAGCUCAGCCUUGUCUGCAUGCCUUGCCGAGGACCCUUUGGCAGCAAAGAGCAUGCAGCCGAAACCCUGGGAUCAAAUAAACUUCCCAACCUGGAGAUAACAUGUUUGCUGCAUGGACCACAGACUGAAAACCAACUGGCCCGAUGCACAAAGCAAAGGAAUGAGCAGGAUGGUUCCAGAUGCUAGCAUGAUGCCAACCAGACUUCCCUGGACAGACAAUCCCACCAAUGUAUCUUGGAGCCCCACCUCCCCAGAGCCCUUCCCCACUAGAGAAAGAGAGAGACAGGCUGGGAGUAUGGAUCGACCUGCCAACGCCCAUGUUCAGCGGGGAAGCAAUUACAGAAGCCAAACCUUCCACCUUCUGCAUCCCACAAUGACCUUGGGUCCAUACUCCCAGAGGGAUAAAGAAUAGGAAAGCUACCAGGGGAGGGGAUGGGAUACGGAGUUCUGGUGGUGGGAACUGUGUGGAGUUGUACC